rnacentral:misc_RNA from 1 species
ACCGAUUCCUUUCUCUCUUUAAUUCUGAUCGGAACAUAUGGGAAGGCAAAAAGGAAAUGUUAUCAAUUCCUUUCAAGCUGUUUUGGGAGUGGCUGUGAUAAAUUGUUGAUGGUUAAAUACAUCAAUUCUGUUACAACAGAUAACUUUCACUUAAAUAAGGCAUGCCAAACAUGCAUGGAAAUUGAUGUGAUGGACAUGUGCAUUAAAUGGACAGAUAUAUGUUAUCGUUUAAAUUCGUGCGGAUUAAGAAAUACAGUGAUAAGCAAGUUUAUUUUACCUGCAAGCGAGGAGCAGGUCUGCU